UCAGGAGGAGCUGGAGGGUGGAUGCGAUGCUCCCAUGGAGAGAUCGCUCUUCCCAACAGGCGGAGCGUGCGCUUGCAGCCCAGAAAUCUGGCCCCUCUGCUCUGGGCUCUGCCUCUAACUCCUCACAAUCCGGGGCAUGUCUUUUACCAUCAAAGAGACUUGGUUUCCUAAUCUAUAAAACGGGGCUGUAAAAACCUGGGCCUGUCAAUUCCGCCUUUUACGACGUUCUGAUGCCCAAGCAAGGUAAUAGAAGGGCUAUUUUUUCUUUUCUUUUAUGUGUUUCUUUACUCUUAUCCUCAACGUAUAUGCACGUCUAGAGCUACACGGUCCAGUACUGUAGGUAUGAGCCACGUGUAGCUAUUUAACUUCAAAUUAAUGAAAAUUAAAUCAUAUUCAAAGUUCAGUGUCUCAGUCACACUACCCAAAAGCCCCAUGUGGCUAGUGGCUACAGACAUAUCUGUCCGCACAGAUCUAGAACAUGUUCCUCAUUUCAGAAUGAACAGAACGGGGCCAGAACAUCAGAGUGACCGGCACUGACGCCGGCAGCUGGUCUGGCUUGUCCUGGUUCUCACUGACUACCCUCCGUUCCCCCAGGGCAAAGGAUGGGUCAUGGUCCCUUGUCAUGGGAAGUACUCAGCCAGCUCCACAUUGGGAUCCUGAUGUAGUAGCAACCACUGCUUUAACAAGAGCACAUUUUGAGCACUGAAGCACCUGCUAGGCCCUGUGCCAGCAUUUGAUGUGCGUUAUUUCAUUCACACACCCCCACCCCCCACGACUCCGUUAGAUGGGUAGUAUCUCACCUGGAGGACAUGGAAGCCUGGCGAUGUUGAGUAGCUCGGAAGCCACGGCACUCAGGGCUGCGGCCGGACUCUGCCCGCAGAGCCUGAGCACGCACUUCUGCAUUAAGUGGUUCUCCACACACCUGAAGUACUUCAGGGGGGAAGUGUCCUGGCUGCACCUCAACUGAACUUAAUUAGAAUCUGCUAGGGUGGGGCCCAGGCACUGGUCUUUCUCAUAAGCUCCACAGUGAUGCUAGCAUGUGGCUGGCAGAGAGCCACUGAACCAGCCAGAAACUACAAGUCUGCCUUGUCCUCAUACCAUGGUCCUUAUUUCUCCUCUUUCUUGAUUCAGUUCUCUCUCUCUCUCUCUCUCUCUCUCUCUCUCUCUCUCUCUCUUUCUCUCUAAGCAAGGGCCUAUGAUUCUUCCAGGAAAGGCCUGUGAUUCUUCCAGGAAAGCCCCCUGUGGUUGGGUGGGGAGGAGUCGCCAUGUGGCCCACGCUGCCUUGUGAGCUCACUGGGUCAUGUGGCUGCUUGGACCAGGUGCAUCCUGGGGCAGGUGGCAGAUGUCUUGACGCUGGGAGCGGGAGAGGCAAACUUUCUUGGCCCGAGUCUGCUCUGACCUUGCAGGACACCUCCUGUGCCGGUCACUCCUGCCAGCACCCUCUCUCUGGAUCAGCUUCCAUUUCAGAUUGCUGUGCACUUGCAUGAAAAGUCUCAUAUUUCAGACACCUCAGGGCAAGUCCUUCUGGAGAUCAAAGGAAGAUACUAGCCAAAACUUGUUUUGCAAGAUUAAGGGAGGGAGGGUAGUGGGGGGAAGCUGUACAAUAAGGAGUUUAUAACAUUUCCAACAGGAUAUGUAGGAGGACCGCUCCCAGGCAAUGACUGAAAUAAAAUACCUGGCCUGCAGUUGCCAUGGUGCUUGUCCAAAGGUGCAGGUGGCAGUUCUGCUCCCAAUCCCUGCUCUUUUCAUCCGGAAGCAGCCAGUGACUGGGGAAGCCCCAAGUGGCUGAGCACCUUGGGCAGAGGUGGAAGCCACAGAGCCUCCAGACUUACCCGACUCCAGUUCUAAUUUCCCUGGGCCCCUUUCCACCCACCCAGGCUCUCCUUACAUGUCCACCUUAAAUGGCUCAACUGGAAAUGGUUCCAGGGAUGCAUCACUACUUGUUUAAUUUUUUUAAUGGGACCCAACCUCCCUUUGAUGAAGGGCCCACCUCUUUUCACUGGGUGUACGGCCUGCUUUGGGUUCUUCAGAGGAAGCAAGUCUGGAUCCAACCCAAACAAACAGAUGUGGGGCGCGGGCGCUCCUGUUGUCCAGAGUGGGAGUGUGGGUUUGGCUACUAAGCAGGGGCUUAAACACUCAUAAGUUUCUCCUAUUUUAAAAACACUGUUAUUUCCAUCCAGUAAAUUUUUCAUUUAAAAUAUUGUAUUUUUCACCUCUAGAUGUUUGGUUCUUUCUCAGAUCUCCCAUUUUCAUCAUUACCGUGUUCACGUUUUCCUUGUCUGCUAAUUCCAUCCUCUCUGUCAUUUCUGGGUCUGAUUCUAUUGAUUGAUCUUCCUCUUAGGAACAUUUUCUGCUUCUUGCCAUGGCUAGUGGUUUUUGCCUGGAUACUGAACUGUAGAAUAAAUUAUGUUGUUGAGUAACUGGAUUCCCUCCCCUCCCUUUAAAGAAUGUUGGGCUUUAUCCUAGUAGGAAGUUUAGUUACUUGUGGUUCUGCUGAGGCUUGUGUGUAAGCUCUGUUAGGAUUAGUCUAGAGUUGCCUUUAAUCUGAGAAUAACUCACCCCGUAGUGAAGCGUGGCCCUUCUGAGGUCUGUACUGAAUCCCUGCAUGGUCCGCGCUGACUGUCUGCGCUGGCCGGUGGGCUUUGAUUUGUCUCCACACCUCUGUGAGGUCUGGGAACUGUUCAUCUCUGCGCUUUCAGUCUCUCAUGGUUUUACCCAACGACUGUGCAUCUUGUGUUCAGCAGACUUAAGAGACCCUCUUAUGCAGAUUUCUGAAGGUUAUUUUCUUUAUAACCACCUCCAGAACUUUGUCCAGCAAAUUCCAGUCACCUCAACCCUGAAUUCUGAUCUCUGUCAUAUCAACUUAGCAGGACUGCUGUGCUCUGCUUGGAAUCUCCCUCUAAGCUCUGUGGUCUGGAAAUGGCCCCUAGAAAGCAAUUCUGG